GAUCAUGGCUCAGGAUGAACGCUAGCUACAGGCUUAACACAUGCAAGUCGAGGGCAGCAUGGUCUUAGCUUGCUAAGGCUGAUGGCGACCGGCGCACGGGUGAGUAACACGUAUCCAACCUGCCGUCUACUCUUGGCCAGCCUUCUGAAAGGAAGAUUAAUCCAGGAUGGGAUCAUGAGUUCACAUGUCCGCAUUGGAUUUAAAGGGUAUUUUUCCGGGAGACGAUUGGGGG
rnacentral:rRNA from 1 species